AAAUAGUUAAAUUGUUUGCAUAUCUUUAUGGAUAAAAUGUCAAUGUAAUCAAUUAUACAAAAACAAUUAUAACAUUAAUAUGAAUUUUCUUUGUUUAUUGUUGUUUUUAAAUCAGAAAACAUAAGUGUGUUUAUAGCAGAAACAACUACUUAAAUGUCCUAUUUGAGUCAAACGAAAGACACCUUAAUCGAAAAUGACUUGAUAUCUGUUUUUAAAAUGUACUUUAAGUACAAUGGUGGGAAAAAGUAUGAAACUGGUGGGAUAAAGCAAAGAAUAUAAAUCAAACUCCUGACGGUAUGAUUUUCUCUUAAGUUUUUUUUUAAAUUUACGGAUAGCCAGGGGCUCCAACACUCAGAAGAGAUUUACAAACGCACUGUGUGUGUGUUUAGUGAGUCCUCCAGAUCAGAGGCAGUAGGGAUGACCAGGGAUGUUCUCUGUUUAGUGAGUCCUCCAGAUUAGAGGCAGUAGGGACGACAACACCUGCUCUUGAUAAGUGUGUGAAUGGGACCAUAGUGCUGUCCUGCUUGAGAAUGCUAAAUGUAACGAGUACUUUUGGGUGUCAGGGGGAAAUAUAUGAGAAUAAAAAGUACAUUAUUUUCUUUUGGAAUGUAGUGAGGUAAAAAUAAAAGUUGUCAAAAAAUAUAAAUAGUAAAGUACAGAUACCCCCCCCCCAAAAAAAUACUUGAGUAGUACAUUAAAGUAUCAUUAUUUGUUUUACUUAAGUACUUUAAACCACUGCAGUUCAGAAAAUACUUAUUUACUUAUUGGUAAACCCCCCAAAAACAGCACACACACCUAGGGGUAAUAAAUCUAACAGCCCUUCUCCAGGUUUGUACCCGUUGAUUUGAUUACCACCGUGGCCUCCAGCCAACGAAUGAACCAGUUUAUUUUAAGGGAAAAUGACAGAGAUGUUUAUACCGAUCGCUGAAAGAGUAUCUGUUAACCUUGUGUAUGGAACUGAAUUACUGGUAUACUCUCUAAAUGAAUGCAGUGAACUGGGAUGUGAAUUACUGGUAUACUCUCUAAAUGAAUGCAGUGAACUGGGAUGUGAAUUACUGGUAUACUCUCUAAAUGAAUGCAGUGAACUGGGAUGUGAAUUACUG
ensembl:lncRNA